UACAGAGGUCUCAAGCGUUGUUCGGAUUCAUUGGGCGUAAAGGGUGCGUAGGCGGCACGGUAAGUCGGGUGUGAAAUCUCGGAGCUUAACUCCGAAACUGCAUUCGAUACUGCCGUGCUUGAGGACUGGAGAGGAGACUGGAAUUUACGGUGUAGCGGUGAAAUGCGUAGAUAUCGUAAGGAAGACCAGUGGCGAAGGCGGGUCUCGUGGACAGUUCCUGACGCUGAGGCACGAAGGCCAGGGGAGCAAACGGG
rnacentral:rRNA from 1 species